UAUAACUCACAAGUGGGCCCUGGAACAGCUGUUGGGGUUAGGUGAAAUCAGAAAUAUGUUGGCACUUCAGGCUCCAGGCUUCUGGAAUUGCUAUGAAUAUUGAUCAUUGCAGAAGAGAAUCUCUGUGUGGGCUGCCUUGUUGGGGCUCUGAAUCUCGAUUUUUACCCAUAUAGACGUCAUGAUCGACACGAGAAACCCCUUGGAACAUCUUCAGCUUGUGCUCGUGAACCAGGAGGAGCUAUACGUCCCUUAGAUCCAGCCGAAACUUUUCUCCUCCACCUCGAUCGUAGCUCCAUCAUGAUCUUCAAUGCGGCUGCAGCCUUGACCUGGUUCUUGGCGAGGGGCGACAAUAAAAGCAACAACAGCCGCAAAUUGCAGAGACGUCUUUGGCCAGGGGCUGCAUGCAACACGCAGCCACAGGCAGCAGCAGGGGCAGCAACCACCUCCCGUCCGAGCAGCACCAGCGUAUGAUGCUUGCAACGCAGAGUCCUCCAUGGUCCCUCAUGACGGUCAUCUGAGUGCCACACGAGUUCCAGAGAAACGGCAAGGCAGCGAAUACGGGGAUCCUCUACUGUAACGUUCUAUACGGCCCUUAGAUAAAUUAUAUUUUUAUAUCAAA